rnacentral:misc_RNA from 1 species
GUGAAUCAUCGAAUCUUUGAACGCACAUUGCGCCCCUUGGUAUUCCGAGGGGCAUGCCUGUCCGAGCGUCAUUACAACCCCUCCAGCUUGCUGGGUCUUGGGCCUCGCCUCCGGGCGGGCCUUGAAAUCAGUGGCGGUCCUGGCGGGCCCUGAGCGCAGUAACUUCUCUCGCUACAGGGACCCGACGGGUGCUGGCCAGCAACCCCCCCCAUCUUUCUUAUGGUUGACCUCGGAUCAGGUAGGGAUACCCGCUGAACUUAAGCAUAUCAAUAAGCGGAGGA